AAUAUCUACCUCUCUUGGGAACUUCAAAGCAUCUGCUGUCUGACCUGAGUCUUUCUAAGCAGGAGGGUAUACACAUGAAGACUUAAACAUAAAAGAAAUGGCCUGUGCUGAGCAACAGAGAAAGCUGUAUCAGAGAUAAAACCAAACAGUAAGCUUCCUGUGGCACAGCUCCAGUGGAAGAAGACAAAGCACCACCUCGUUACUGCAAGGUGGAGACAGAAGUCCAAGAGAGAUUCUUUGUUACCACCUGGCAUGGAUGGGAAUCUAGGCACUCCCUGAUGGAGAGAAGGACUGCCUCAUGAUGCUCACCAUGUAACCUACAAUAGCACCAUGGAAGGGGGAUGUGGACGUCUGUUAUCACUGGGUGGUGGUGAAAGCCCUGACUCUAUUGGCCACUUUGGACACAAUGCCAGUGGGGAGGGGGAAGAAUGCCUCAUUGCUGCCCUCUGUAGGUAGAAAUCCAGGCUACCCACUUUGCUUUUUGAUAGUGGGGACAGGCGGUGGGGGGAGUGGAGAUGGGGCCACAGAUUUCUUUCUGUGGUAUUCAGCAGAAAUAUAGAGCAGUUAUUGCCAA